UGGGGAAUAUUGGACAAUGGGGGAAACCCUGAUCCAGCGACGCCGCGUGGGUGAAGAAGGCCUGCGGGUUGUAAAGCCCUUUCGGUAGGGAAGAAAUCUCUUGUCUUAACACGGCAGGAGUUUGACUUAACCUACAUAAGAAGCACCGGCUAACUCUGUGCCAGCAGCCGCGGUAAUACAGAGGGUGCGAGCGUUAAUCGGAAUUACUGGGCGUAAAGCGCACGUAGUCGGCUUGCCAAGUCGGGUGUGAAAUCCCCGGGCUCAACCUGGGAACUGCAUCCGAAACUGGCUUGCUAGAGUAUGGGAGAGGGAAGCGGAAUUUCUGGUGUAGCAGUGAAAUGCGUAGAUAUCAGAAGGAACAUCAGUGGCGAAGGCGGCUUCCUGGACCAAUACUGACGAU
rnacentral:rRNA from 1 species